AUUGAACGCUGGCGGCAGGCCUAACACAUGCAAGUCGAGCGGAGCGGCGGACGGGUGAGUAAUGCCUAGGAAUCUGCCCGGUAGUGGGGGAUCCCGUCCGGAAACGGGCGCUAAUCCCGCAUACUAUCAGAUCAGCUUCGGUCGGAUUCGCUAGUUGGUGGGGUAAUGGCCUACCAAGGCGACGAUCCGUAACUGGUCUGAGAGGGUGAUCGGUCACACUGGAACUGAGACACGGUCCAGACUCCUACGGGAGGCAGCAGUGGGGAAUAUUGGACAAUGGGCGAAAGCCUGAUCCAGCCAUGCCGCGUGUGUGAAGAAGGUCUUCGGAUUGUAAAGCACUUUAAGUUGGGAGGCGUUACCAACAGAAUAAGCACCGGCUAACUUCGUGCCAGCAGCCGCGGUAAUUC
rnacentral:rRNA from 1 species